rnacentral:rRNA from 1 species
AUUGAACGCUGGCGGAAUGCUUUACACAUGCAAGUCGAACGGCAGCACGGACUUCGGUCUGGUGGCGAGUGGCGAACGGGUGAGUAAUGUAUCGGAACGUGCUCAGUCGUGGGGGAUAACGUAGUGAAAAUUACGCUAAUACCGCAUACGAACUAUGGAUGAAAGCGGGGGAUCGCAAGACCUCGCGCGAUUGGAGCGGCCGAUAUCAGAUUAGGUAGUUGGUGGGGUAAAGGCCCACCAAGCCAACGAUCUGUAGCUGGUCUGAGAGGACGACCAGCCACACUGGAACUGAGACACGGUCCAGACUCCUACGGGAGGCAGCAGUGGGGAAUUUUGGACAAUGGGCGAAAGCCUGAUCCAGCCAUUCCGCGUGCAGGAUGAAGGCCCUCGGGUUGUAAACUGCUUUUGUACAGAACGAAAAGGUUUCUACUAAUACUAGGAGCUCAUGACGGUACUGUAAGAAUAAGCACCGGCUAACUACGUGCCAGCAGCCGCCGUAA